UACGUAGGGGGCAAGCGUUGUCCGGAAUCAUUGGGCGUAAAGCGCGCGUAGGCGGCUCGAUCAGUCCGCUGUGAAAGUCCAGGGCUCAACCCUGGAAAGCCGGUGGAUACUGUCGGGCUAGAGUCCGGAAGAGGCGAGUGGAAUUCCUGGUGUAGCAGUGGAAUGCGCAGAUAUCAGGAGGAACACCGAUAGCGAAGGCAGCGCGCUGGGACGGUACUGACGCUGAGGUGCGAAAGCGUGGGGAGCGAACAGG
rnacentral:rRNA from 1 species